GAUGAACGCUGGCGGCGUGCCUAAUACAUGCAAGUCGAGCGAACAGACGAGGAGCUUGCUCCUCUGACGUUAGCGGCGGACGGGUGAGUAACACGUGGAUAACCUCCCUAUAAGACUGGGAUAACUUCGGGAAACCGGAGCUAAUACCGGAUAAUAUAUUGAACCGCAUGGUUCAAUAGUGAAAGACGGUUUUGCUGUCACUUAUAGAUGGAUCCGCGCCGCAUUAGCUAGUUGGUAAGGUAACGGCUUACCAAGGCAACGAUGCGUAGCCGACCUGAGAGGGUGAUCGGCCACACUGGAACUGAGACACGGUCCAGACUCCUACGGGAGGCAGCAGUAGGGAAUCUUCCGCAAUGGGCGGAAGCUUGACGGAGCAACGCCGCGUGAGUGAUGAAGGUCUUCGGAUCGUAAAACUCUGUUAUUAGGGAAGAACAAAUGUGUAAGUAACUAUGCACGUCUUGACGGUACCUAAUCAGAAAGCCACGGCUAACUACGUG
rnacentral:rRNA from 1 species